UACGGGGGGGGCAAGCGUUGUUCGGAAUUACUGGGCGUAAAGGGCUCGUAGGCGGCCAACUAAGUCGGACGUGAAAUCCCCAGGCUCAACCUGGGAACUGCAUCCGAUACUGGAUGGCUUAAAUUCGGGAGAGGGAUGCAGAAUUCCAGGUGUAGCGGUGAAAUGCGUAGAUAUCUGGAGGAAUACCGGUGGCGAAGGCGGCAUCCUGGACCGACAUUGACGCUGAGGAGCGAAAGCCAGGGGAGCAAACGGG
rnacentral:rRNA from 1 species